GAUGAACGCUGGCGGCGUGCCUAAUACAUGCAAGUCGAGCGAAUGGAUUAAGAGCUUGCUCUUAUGAAGUUAGCGGCGGACGGGUGAGUAACACGUGGGUAACCUGCCCAUAAGACUGGGAUAACUCCGGGAAACCGGGGCUAAUACCGGAUAACAUUUUGAACCGCAUGGUUCGAAAUUGAAAGGCGGCUUCGGCUGUCACUUAUGGAUGGACCCGCGUCGCAUUAGCCAGUUGGUGAGGUAACGGCUAACCAAGGCAACGAUGCGUCGCCGACCUGAGAGGGUGAUCGGCCACACUGGGACUGAGACACGGCCCAGACUCCUACGGGAGGCAGCAGUAGGGAAUCUUCCGCAAUGAACGAAAGUCUGACGGAGCAACGCCGCGUGAGUGAUGAAGGCUUUCGGGUCGUAAAACUCUGUUGUUAGGGAAGAACAAGUGCUAGUUGAAUAAGCUAGCACCUUGACGGUACCUAACCAGAAAGCCACGGCUAACUACGUGCCAGCAGCCGCCGUAA
rnacentral:rRNA from 1 species